rnacentral:rRNA from 1 species
AACGAACGCUGGCGGCAUGCCUAACACAUGCAAGUCGAACGGAACCUUCGGGUCUGCUGGCGCACGGAUGCGUGAAGCGGGGGGUCCUGCCCUGGGGUUCGGCAUAACUCCCCGGAAGAGGUGCUGAUAACGGGUAAUGUUUUCGGACCAAAGAUUUAUCGCCUUUGGAUGGGGCCGCGUUGGUUUGGUUAGUUGGUAGGGUAAAAGCCAACCAAGGCGUGGAUCCGUAGCUGGCUAGAGAGGAGGCUCAGCGACACUGGGACUGAGACACGGCCCAGACUCGUACGAGAGGCAGCAGUGGGGAAUAUUGGACCAUGGGCGAAAGCCUGAGCCAGCGAGGCCGCGUGAGUGAUGAAGGCGUUAGGGUUGUAAAGCUCUUUUAACCGAGAUGAUAAUGACAGUACCGGGAGAAUAAGCACCGGCUAACUACGUG